UACGGGGGGGGCAAGCGUUGUUCGGAAUUACUGGGCGUAAAGGGCUCGUAGGCGGCCAACUAAGUCGGAUGUGAAAUCCCCAGGCUUAACCUGGGAACUGCAUCCGAUACUGGAUGGCUUGAAUUCGGGAGAGGGAUGCAGAAUUCCAGGUGUAGCGGUGAAAUGCGUAGAUAUCUGGAGGAACAUCGAUGGCGAAGGCGGCAUCCUGGACCGGUAUUGACGCUGAGGCGCGAAAGCCAGGGGAGCAAACGGG
rnacentral:rRNA from 1 species